rnacentral:rRNA from 1 species
GAGUAAAGAUUUCGGUCGCUUUGGGAGGAGCUCGCUUACUAUCAGCUUGUUGGUAGGGUAAUGGCCCUACCAAGGCUAUGACGGUUAGGGGGUGUGAGAGCAUGACCCCCAGCAUUGGCACUGAAACACUGGCCAAACACCUACGGGUGGCUGCAGUCGAGAAUCUUCCACAAUGGGGGAAACCCUGAUGGAGCGAUGCUGCGUGCGGGAUGAAGGCCUUCGGGUUGUAAACCGCUUUUGUAGGGGACGAAAUUUUUGACGGUACCCUUUCGAAUAAGAGGUUGCUAACUCUGUGCCAGCAGCAGCGGUAAUACAGAGACCUCAAGCGUUAUCCGGAUUUACUGGGCGUAAAGCGUCUGUAGGGGGUUUAUUAAGUUCCAAGUAAAAUUUCAAGGCUCAACUUUGAAUUCGCUUGGAAAACUAAUAAACUGGAGUCUAGCAGAGGUGCAUGGAACUUGUGGUGUAGGAGUGAAAUCCGUUGAUAUCACAAGGAACACCAAAGGCGAAGGCAUUGCACUGGGCUAGCACUGACCCUGAGAGACGAAAGCGUGGGGAGCAAAACGGAUUAGAUACCCGUGUAGUCCACGCCCUAAACGAUGAAUGCUAAAUGUUCGGGGAUUCGACCCCCUGGGUGUUACAGCUAACGCGUUAAGCAUUCCGCCUGGGAAGUACGGCCGCAAGGCUAAAACUCAAAGGAAUAGACGGGGAUCCGCACAAGCGGUGGAGCGUCUGGUUUAAUUCGACAGUAAGCGUGGUACCUCACCAGGGUUUGACAUCCCUUGACAGCCUUGGAAACAAGGUUUCCUUCGGGCAAGGUGACAGGUGCUGCAUGGUCGUCGUCAGUUCGUGCCGUGAGGUGUUCCGUUAAGUCGGGAAACGAACGAAACCCCUAUUGCAUGUUACAAUUUCUCAUGCAAGACUGCCCGGCUAUACUGGGGGGAAGGUGGGGAUGACGUCAGAUCUGCAUGGUCCUUAUACCCUGGGCGACACAGGCGCUACAAUGGCAGAGACAAAGGGUUGCAA